CAGGCUUUAGUUCAUUAUCAUCAUGGCAGCACGGAUGGUGCUGGAGCAGUAGCUGAGAGUUAUAUCCUCAUCCACGGGACCAGACAGACACUAGUCCUGGAAUGGAAUUUGGAAGCCUCAAAGUCUACCCCAACAUGGCCACACCUCCUAAUCCUUCUAAUCCUAUCGAAGACUUCCACUACCUGGAUAUUUUUGACCCUAGAUACUUUUUCCUUUAAAUUUGAUGGAGCUGUGAUCAUGCCUCUGACCUCUAGCCUUGAAAGAAGACGAGUUAUGCCUCUCAGGAGUGAUGCCUCAGGCACUUUGCAAGUCGGCUGGCAGGAUUAUUUCCCAGGCUGUGAAGUGAUGACCUUCUACCGAGAGUGA
ensembl:antisense Nudt12os nudix (nucleoside diphosphate linked moiety X)-type motif 12, opposite strand